rnacentral:lncRNA from 1 species
CCCAGGAGGUGGAGCUUGCAGUGAGCUGAGAUCGCACCACUGCACUCCACCCUGGGGGACAGAGCGAGACUCCGUCUCAAAAAAAAAAAAAUUAUAAAUAUACCCCCCGAUAUACAAUGAGAUGGCAACUUCAUCUCUUUGGUAUUCCCCAAAAUCCAUAAUCCAAGUCUAAUCAAGAGAAAGCAUCAGAUGAAUCCAAGUUGAAAGACAUUCUAGAAAAUAUGUUGGCUGGGUGCAGUGGCUCAUGCCUGUAAUCCCAGCACUUUGGGAGGCCAAGGCAGGAGGCAGGAAGAUUGCUUGAAGCUAGGAGUUCAAGACCAGCCUAGGCAGCAAAGCAAGACCCUGUCUCUAUAAAUUUUUUUUUUUUUUUGAGACAGAGUUUUGCUCUUGUUGCCCAGGGUGGAGUGCAAUGGCGUGAUCUUGGCUGACUGCAACCUCCGCCUCCUGGGUUCAAGCGAUUCUCCUGCCUCAGCCUCCUGAGUAGCUGGGAUUACAGGCAUGCACCACCAUGCCCAGCUAAUUUUGUGUUUUUAGUAGAGAUGGGGUUUUUCCAUGUUGGUCAGGGCUGGCCUGGAACUCCCGACCUCAGGUGAUCCACCUGCCUCGGCCUCCCAAAGUACUGAGAUAACAGGUACCCACCACCACACCAGGCUAAUUUUUUAUUUUAGUAGAGACGGGGUUUACCGUGUUGGCCAGGCUGGUCUCAUACUCCUGACCCCCAUGUGAUCCACCCACCUCAGCCCCCCAAAGUGCUGGGAUUACAGGCGUGAGCCACCAUACCUGGCCAGAAAAUUAAAACUUGAAAAAAAAAAAGGUGUUAGUGGUAGAUCACCAUAAUCUGACAUAGAACUUUUUUUUUUUUUUUUUUUUUGAGACUGAGUUUUGCUCUUGUUCCCCAGGCUAGAGUGCAAUGUGACGGUCUCAGCUCACUGCAACCUCCACCUCCAGUGUUCAAGAGAUUCUCCUGCCUCAGCCUCCUGAAUAGCUGGGAUUACAGGCAUGUGGCACCACGCCCAGCUAAUUUUUUGUAUUUUAAGUGGAGAUGGGGUUUCACCAUGCUGUCCAGGCUGGUCUGGAACUCCUGACCUCAGGUGAUCCACCCGCCUCGGCCUCCCAAAGUGUUGGGAUUACAGGCAUGAGCCAUUGUGCCUGGCCCUGACAUAGAACUUUGAAGGAGUUCAAAGAAUUGAGUUCCAUUGCUUCAUAAAUCCUGGGUGGGAAAAUGCUAAUUUAUGUAAAGAAAAGUUGUCAGCUCUUUUAUCUAUAAAAAUGAAAAAUGCUGGGUGUGGUGAUGCAUGCCUGUCCCAGCUAUUCGGGACAGGUGAAGUGAGAGGAUCUUGAGUCCAAGAGUUGGAGGCAAGCCUGGGCAACAUUAAUGCAAGCAACAUGGUGAGAACAAGUCUCUUAAAAAAAAAUGAAAAAUAGGCCAGGCAUGGUGUCUCACUCCUGUAAUCCCAGCACUUUCAGAGUCCGAGGUGGGUGGAUCACGAGGUCAGGAGAUAGAGACCAUCUGGCUAACACGGUGAAACCCUGUCUCUACUAAAAAUACAAAAAAAAAAAAAAAAAAAAAAAAGGUUAGCUGGGUGUGGUGGCACGCGCCUGUAGUCCCAGCUACUCGGGAGGCUGAGGCAGGAGAAUCGCUUGAACCCAGGAGGUGGAGGUGCAGUGAGCCGAGAUCGCACCGCUGCACUCCGGCCGAGGUAACAGAGCAAGAGUCAGUCUCAAAAAAAAAAAAAAAUAGUAAUCGAUGCUAAACCUCUCAUUCUAGCAAUAAUGAUACUUAUUCAUGAACAUAUGAAUUGAAAAAAUAAAUGCUCAGUCCCAUUAAGAAUUACAGCUUCAAUAAAAUUUUGACUUUUAUGUUUAAUUAUCAAUCUAUAGACUACAUUUGAUCAGUUGUAUACUAAUAAUUAUAUUCCCGGCCAAAGAUAGUGGCUCAUGUCUGUAAUCCCAGCACUUUGGGAGGCCGAGGCAGGAAGAUUACUUGAGCCCAGGAAUUUGAGACCAGCCUGGGCAAUAUAGCAAGACCCUCAUCUCUACAAAAAACAAAAUAUUAGCCAGGUGUUGUGGCUUUAGUCCCAGCUAUUUGGGAGGAUCAACUAAGCCCAGAGAGGUCAAGCUACAAUUGCACCACUGCCCUCCAGCCUGAGCGACAGAGCGAGACCCUGCUUCAAAAAAGAGAAAAAAAAAAACUUGCUCAUAUUUUUUGUUUUUGUUUUUUUUUUUUUUUUUGAGACAGGGUUUUGCUCUCUUGCCCAGGCUAGAGUGCAGUGGCAGGAUCACAGCUCACUGCAGCCUCAUCCUCCCCAGGCUCAGGUGCCCCUCCCACCUCAGCCUCCUAAGUAGCUGGGAUUACAGAUGUGCACUACCAUGCCUGGCUAAUUUUUCCAUUUUUUGUAGAGAUGGGGUUUUUCCAUGUUCCCCAGGCUACUCUCAAACUCCUGGACGGGGAGAUAUGUCCACCUUGGCCUCCCAAAGUGCUGGGAUAACAGGCAUGAGCCACCAUGCCUGACUUAUGUAUUUCUUGAAUGGAUGAUGACAGACAUAGAAAUCACUACAAUAGAAAUAUUUUUUAAGGUUUUAUUUAACAAUGCUAAUGCUUACAAUCCACAUGAAAUCCUUUGUAACUAAACUUACAAUGAUAAAUUCAUGCAAACAAAAUUUUGAAGACUGUUAAUUUAGAUCAAUGUCUUUCAAAUGUUUUAGCCACAACUCACAUAAGAAAUACAUUUUGCAAUGACCCAGUAUACACAUGAUUUAUACUUGAAG